rnacentral:rRNA from 1 species
GUCUUAUAGAUUUUAAUUUUAAGUCUGACCUGCUCAAUGAUUAAAUAUUAAAUUGCUAUAGUAUUUUAACUAUACAAAGGUAGCAUAAUAAUUUGUCUUUUAAUUGGAGGCUUGUAUGAAUGGUUGGACGAGAAGUAAUCUUUCUUAAUUUAAAUUAAAUUGAAUUUAAUAUUUUUGUAAAAAAGCUUAAAUAUAGUUGUGGGACGAGAAGACCCUUUAGAAUUUUAAUUAAAUUAAUAACUUUUUAUUUUAGUAAUUAUUUUGUAAUAUUUUAUUAAUUUAAUUUUUGUUGGGGUGACAGUAAAAAUUUUUUAACUUUUAUUAUUAAAUUAAUCAUAAAUUAAUGUAUUAUUGAUCCUUUUUUUAAGAUUAAAAGAUUAAAUUACCUUAGGGAUAACAGCGUAAUUACUUUGGAGAGUUCUUAUCGAUAGAGUAGUUUGCGACCUCGAUGUUGGAUUAAAGUUAGAUUUAUAGUGCAGCUGCUUAAUUUCUAGGUCUGUUCGACCUUUAAACCUUUACA